CACUCUGCGUGGAGCCCAAUGUGGGGCUCAAUCUCACAACUGUGAGACCAUGACUUGAGCCAAAAUCAAGAGUAGGACGCUUAACCGACGAGCCACCCAGGCACUGUAGAAUUUUUUUAGUAUUGAAAAAAGCUUCCUGUCUAGGCCCCUACAAGACCAAAGACACUUGGCUCAGAAGAAUGUAUGGAAUAUAAUCAUUAACAAAGCCAGAAUGAACUUUAUGCAAGUGUAUAUAAUCUAAGUCUAAAUCAAAAGUACACUUUUUUAGCCAUUCAGUUUUUCUCUAAGAACUUAUUUAGACCUAAAAAUCUUUCUCUUUUUAGCGAUCUCUCCUUUAAGUUCUGAAGUUCAACAAGGUAAGGUAGUAGAAGACUUGGAAAAGAGAAGCUAUCAUUUUCCAGGUUCUAGACUCGGUACUCGAUGCCUGGACUCCAUGCCUCCUGCCCUUCUAGCAAACAGUCUAGAGAAGGCAAGGACGAAGAGAUCCCGAGCGCAGACGCCGUCAGGGAAGGCUUCCCAGAAGGCAUGACAUCUAGGCUGAGACUUGAAAGAAGAGAAGGCUCUAGGGAAAGAAAGCAGCUUAUAUAAAAGCCUGGAGGCAAAAAGAACAGGAGGACACACUUGAGAGGCUGGAGAAUAUUUAACAUAGCUCAGGGAGAAACAUAGCUCUCAGGGAGAAAAUGAACCCGAUCUGUGUUUCUGAAAGUCCAAUCUGAAUGUGAUGGGGGCAGUGUACUGGGGGGGCAAGGAUGGUGGUAGGGAGACUGGUUAGAAGGCUGUGACCAAGACAGAGAAUAGUGGCCUUACAACAGAGAAACACACGAAUUCCUAAGAUACGGCUUUGGCAACCAGGAGUUUGGUGGUAACAUUCUCUAAAGUAAUGAAUUCAGCACCAAGAAGGAGGCUUGGGAGGGAGCAGAAGGUUGAUGAAUUCAGUAGGGGACAGGCUACAUCUUACCCUCUGGAGACUUCUGUGCAGGUAAGUUUGCAAGGCAGGUUCACGGAGUUGUGAACUUAGGGCAAGAGUCAGGUUGGAUAACCACACUAGAGAAUUCCAGCUUCUCAACAAGCCCCGGGUGGGGUGUGCCCAGGCCAGAAUCUCCAAUAUUCCGGUAUUUUUAAAGGAACUCACAGAGGAAAGAGUGAUCUAGUCUUCUUAUGUUAAGAACUAGAUGUGUGAUCCCAGGUAGGAAAGUUAACUUCAUUAUUCUUCAAUGGAGAUUUAAACCAUCUGCUUUAUCUGCCCAGUGGAGAUUUGUGGGGAUUCCAUGAAGUAAUGCAAACAGUGACUCUUGGAAAAGCCCACAUUGCUAUACAAACAUACAGUGGCAUCACUGUCAGAAUUAUUCAACCAUGAGAAUUUGGAAAAGCUGGAAGGGGUAACUUCAAACUCUACAUGUAUGCGCAAGUUUUUGGGAAAUGGACACUGCUCCUUCAUUAAUAAAGAGACGUAAAAACAUGCAAUAAGCAAUAAACAACAAUAUCCAAGUAA